CCCACAAAUUCCGUGCUGUGACAAGGACUAUGGACAAUGGCAAUGUCUUUAUUUUACCUCCUCAUUCUCUUGUCACAUUAAUCAUCAUGACUUUUAGACCCUUUCUGUUGGUCUUAAGUUUGCUACAAAAUGAUAAGAAGUAUUUAGAGUGGAUCAAAAUACAGAGAAGUCUUUUGUUUGGCUAUAUUUUCUGAAAACAUUUUAAGUUUUAUGACCAUUCAAUCUGUACAAGAAACCCCUAUCAUUUGACAACUUCUCUCCCUUAGAAUCUGCAUCAUAGUACCCACACAGAAAGUAUAAACCUCUGCCAUUUUUAAUAAAGGAGACUUGACUGUGUUUUUUUAAAAAAACAUACUAUCUGAGAACCUGUACUAGUCAAAUAAGGCAGAAUGAAUGUAUUUGCUAUCACUACUGCUUUGGCAGUCUUACAAAAAUAUAGCAAACAUCACUGACCUUAACAAAGCCCAGAGAAGUUCAGUAUGAGAAACAGAAAAUGAUGAAAAAUGGAAAAUGCUUUGUUACAUUUUGCAAUGUAAAAUAUCAUUACAAGCCUGUCCCUGCCAUAUGAUAUUGACCAUGGUCUCCUCAUGCACUAAACUCUGCCCAUCUUCAUGACUGAAUGCUGCAAAUUCCUUUUUAGAAAAGGUAAGUGGAAUACUGAUACUGUCAUCAUCUCACAGAAAGGGAUACAUAACCUCAGCGAGUUCACAUUUACAUUUGCCAGAUUCACAAAGAUCCCUGUAGCAAGGCCACAAAAAGAUUCUCUGAGCUUUCAAAUGCCAUUUGACUGCUACAGAUACAAAACUGCAUUUCUUAUGACUUAAGCCAAUAUUCACAUCAAGGAUACGUUUAUCAGUGAGAGUUAGUCAAGGCUUUUGUGAAUUUAUGUUACUGUAAGUGCUAAUUAACGUUUAGAGAAUUUCUGUGGUCGGCUGCCAUUAGGAUUUCACAGAAAAAAACAAAGACUUUAAAAAAUGUGUACAUAUAGGUACGUAUAUGCACUUUAAAGUAAAACAAAAAAUCCUCUUGCAAGACAGAAGUGGGGAGUUUUAAUUUAUGAUAACUGAAGGAACUUGACAUUACUACCGACAGAAUUUCCUUCUUUAACAAGAUCACAGUCAUUUAAAUAGAGGUAACAUACUGCUUCACCGAGAACUAUAAAGUCCAGGUCUGUCUUAUGCAGUCAUUUGCAGCAGUUAUUUGCAGAUGGGAAAAUGUAGAAGUAAAGCUAGAAGCUGCAGACAACUCUUAAUGUCUGCCCAAGAUUCCAAGCCUUAAAGUUUAGGAAGUCUAUUUUUAAACUUAAUUUCUUUGAAAAACUGAGACCUGCAACUAGCACUUGUCAUUAUGGUAUAAUGAUCUAACUUCUUGCCAGAGUAUUUGGGGAUUAUGUUUCUCAGAGAAGCAGAGUUUAUCUGCCAGAGAUUAUUCUUCUUGUUAGUGAUCUGUUUUCUCUCUUCCUAGUAAAGCCUACAGCCUUCCAUAGUUCCUGAGACAUUAAAAACAGCUGUGCAAAUGUCUUCUCUCCCAGAUUUCAAUAAAUCUGCCUCUGUCCAAGCUGACUGCUCCCAAAAGCGUGCUAGAGGAACUCGGCGUGGCAGGAGCCACUGUUCUUCUGGUGUUGCUGCUCAAGCAACUCCUUGCUGGGCAGUUUGGUUAAGAUUGGCCAAAUAGUCUCGGGAUCAUCAAAGCUCAUCAGAAGAUCAAACUAACUUCAAGAGAAAACUACAGGAAAAGAAAAAAUGUACCCUAUUCAAGGAUAAUUUACUAGGUACCACUCCCCAAACACGCCACCAUGAAAGGCCUCCAAGCAAAGGAAAUGGAUCUUCCAUGCUUUGGUUUCACGAUGGUUUCUGGUUUCAGCUUCCAUUUGCAGCUAGUGCUGGAUGGGGAGAAGUUGUUAGUGCAUAUUUAUAUAUGGAAUUGUAUGCUAUACUAUCAGAAGCAUGUGUGGCCUCUGGGACAAUGACAGCCUUCCAAACCUUCUGAAACAGAGAGCUAAAGAAACUCUCUGAAUGACAAAUGAUUUGUGUGCAUAGUGCAUGAUCUACCUACUGGGUGCAUGAUCUGCCUAUUGGCUAUGGAAACACUUGGAAAUUUUUUCUCAUAGAAGGGCUUAGGCUGAUAAUUACAUCAUAAUAUGUUAAGUUACAGAUUCCUGGGCACUAAACAGUUUUGGUUUUGAUACUCAGGUGGAUACUAGCCCAAGGUCUCAAAUCUUUUCCAUGAGGUGAGGUAUCUAACACCUCAAAGAGUCCCCCACUAUGAAUCAAAUGCCUCAUAGUGAUGAAGAGCAAUUUUCUGUGGGUUUAUUUAUAAAAAGGAAUUCUUGUAUCCCAUGAUUUAUCUAUCUGUUACUCAGGCUGACUGAGAAGGAUACUUCAUGUAUAAGAGAAGGACAUCCACCAGGCAAUGCUUUUCAUUCCCUUACAGCAGAGGUGUAGAGAAAUUUGCUUAUAGCUGUGACUAUAAACCACUUGAAAGAAAGACCUAGAACAGUCAGGAGAAGUAAUGUAGCAAAAUAUAAAUGAGAGAAGCAGAUUGGUGCAGAGCACAAGAGUUAUGUCUUUCCUAUCUUGGUAGUGUUAGGGUCCCAAAUACAAAUUUCUCUGUUCUUAUUCUCUUUCUUACUUCACAUACAAAGGUUUGCAGGAGUGAAAAGGGAGCUAGAGAUAGAGAAGAUAUACAUAAAGAGAAUACUUGUGUAUGAUUGACUUAUUGUAUGUUUGAUCUAACUGUUAUCUGCUGGAAAAUAAAAUUAACAGAAAGUUGCAUGGUAAAUUUGAAACAGGGGUCAGACUCCUAAUUUACAAAAACUGUUCCAGAUUAAAUGAUUUGUUCAGGCUGAGAGAUUACUUUGGAUGGAAAGAACGAGAUAAGCACUCUUGUAUUUUCUUUAAGUACUCUUUCUGUGUUGAUCUCAAAACUCAGAAAGAAAACUGAAAAUGUGUGUAAAAUAUCUGUCAAAAUACCUUAACAAGUUAAAUGAAGUGGAUCUAGCAGUGAUAUAAAGUAAUCACUCAUAGCAAAUGAAAAAAUAUCAAGGAAAAGAAAGCAUCAGUUUUCCUUGGCUUUUCAAGAACUAUUUUUAAAAAUGUCCUUAAUAAUCUGCCUACAUUUAAGAGUGUGAUUUAGGUGAAUUGGGUCAAAAUUAAAUAGCUGGCAACAAACAGCAAAAUGUGUUUAGAAGUACCUCAGCAGCUGUUUAAGAUGGCUAUUGUUAGUCACAGCAAGACGACUCACUAUACUUCUCAGUCUCAUCAAUUUAUUCUUUAUUGUGACUUGAUUCUGCAAAAGUCAUCGGGCUCCUCUACCUGCUUUAUAAAACCUCAGUCUGUAUAUAUCCGCAGCCUGCAAGUGUUGCUCUUGUUCAAAUGACUGCUGAAAACUCAAAACAACUGCAAUUUCCCACAGUGUUAGUACAAAACUUUAUGGGACUGAGACUAAACCUGCACUUCUGCAGUCAGUUGUGGGCACAUUAGAACCAUUAUCAGCUUAGGCAGUUACUGAAAACGCUAAAAUAAAGUUUCACACUACUUGUCCUGCUGAUGUGUUUGCCAGGCCAUAUUAUCUUCUCUGCAUGAAUCCAGAUAUUGGGGGUGCUGUUAUCUGGUCUUAAAAAAACAAAGCCAGGAGAAUAAGAACUAACUCCUUCCCCUCUACCUCCCCCUCCCCCUAAAUCUGCCCCUCUGAUCCUUAGUGACUUCUUUUGGACAGGGGUGGAAAGCCAAAUUUACACUGGUGUGUAUCUGAGUAGAUCCACUGCCAUCAUGGGAGAUAUUCUGGUUUUACACUGUUAUAGGAGAUAGUAAGUUUUGGCAACAGCCUUCGUAUAGCCAUGUCCUGUAGUGUAAACAACUUGCUUUUAUGCAAACAAAUUACAAAAUUGUGUAUAAAGUAAGAGAAUCGCUGCUUUUAAGCUGUCUUGCACAGGAAAAGGAAUUAAGUCAUCUAAAUCGGGUAUGUGCAAUCCUCUAGAAUUCUUUAAAUUUAUAACUUUCUAUUGCUGUGUAAACUUGAGUUCUCCUGUAGAGAUGCCGUUCUGAUUGUUUGCCUCUUGAGGAUAUAAAUUUAAAAGAGAGUACUGUAUCUAGUCAUCUGCACCAUCUGAUGCAAUUUAAGGAAAAAAACCCAAACCACUAAAUAUAGUUAACACAGCUUGGUUGUGUCUUCUUGUAACUCCCCUACAGGCAAUGGAAAAGGAGCCCAGAAAACAAUUUGUUUAUUAUAAGCAGGUCAGUCCUCCGGGGGAUUCAUGGAAUCACGCAGUGGAGAGGACAAUCACAGCACUGAAAUGCUGGAGUCAUAGCUGGAGUCAAAAUUUCUGCUCAGAGCUAAAAAGUGCUGAACUUCUGAGUUUCUCCUGUUACAGAAGCCUCACCUGGAAGAACUCAUGUUGUCCUGCCAAUGUGACAUACUGACAUACUCUGGGGACAGACAAAGUGUUUGGGUUGCAAUACUUUGGAAGCAGCGCUCAGUCAUGGCUCUGUGCUGUGACCACCAAACCAGAACCUACAACGAUGAUUUUGUAAUCUGCCAGGAGAGAUCACUGGGAAAUAAAAGUAUAAGUAAUGGCAACUUUUUUUUUUCUGCCAGUAGCAGGAAGCGGGAGAAGUGGAGACAGAGGAAAAGGAAUGGAGUGAUUUUUAAAACUACCUAGAAGCUGAAAACCAUUUUCCAAAAGAAGUAAUUUUUUGUCAGUAAGGUCAGGCUAUCUAAAAAUUCUCACUGUUUUUGAGUACAGGCCUUGUCCAGUCAGAACUAGUUAGGGUCUGGGGUGAGAUGCCAAGUUGUUUCACAAACACCAGCAAAAUGUCCAUCACGAGUCACAGGAUUCUUUUUUUAGUUUCCCCGGGACAUAGCAACAUGGCCUGGUUUCAUGUAUUACAGAUGAAUAGUGAAUAGUUUGCUAUAAAUUUGGUCAACUGUCUUCCAAAAUAUCUUUUUAUAACAUUUUAAAAUGUAAGCAAUUAAUGAUUCUACGCUAAAUAUGAUACGGCUUUUACAGAGACAGGGGAUUCUCAUUAGCCUUUGAAGCAUAAUAUCAUUACUUUAAGUAUUUGAUUGUUAUUCAUACAAUAUUUGCUGGAGUUACUUAAUAACUAUCAGUCUUCAUUCUUCUAACUCUUUAUUCGUUGUCAGCUGUGGAUGAUCUACCAGCCCACACGAGAAGGCAGGUUACAUUUGAAGGAAUUAGGGACAUGUGCAAAAUCUAAGCUAAUUGCAGUGCUACUUUAUAUUUUAAUUGCUUCUUAUUGGCAACUUAACAGAUGUCUGUGACUUUGUAGUCUGAUGUUCAGUGCUUAUACUGGGAAUCCACAGGACUCAGUGAGAUGCAGGCACUGCUCUGUGAGAGAUUUGUUAUACCAAGCUCCUGUGUUCCCAGGUCACGCCUUUGAAGGAAUACAAAAAAGUGAUGAUCAGGAGAUGCUGCCAUUUGAUGGCCCAGCACAUAACAUGUGUUUAUUGCUUGGACCAAUGUUUAAGGCUGGUUAGAGGAUGUGGUAAUGCUCACAUCUAUCUGGCAAUAAAAGAUUUAUGAUCCUCUGGCUCUGAUUCCCUGUCAGCCAUGCAGAGAAAGGAGAUGAUUCCUAUGUAAGGCAGAGAAAGCAGUAACAGAAGGGGCUAAAACAUGAGAAGUAUGGGGAAUGCCGAAGCAUAACAAGAGAUGUGGGGAAAAUAGAAGAAGGAGUGCUGUGAAGGAACGCUGGCUUAUGUUUUUGCACCCAAAAUGAGCUGGGUUUGUCUACAUGUCCGUCAGAAGAGAUGGCAAUGCAAGUAUGCAAUUAGGCUGCACCAUGGCCUCAAAGACUUUGCUAAUCCAUUCUAUGCAGUAUCUCAAGAAGGAUAUGGCUCGGCGGCAAGAUGUGCACCCCUUUAAUAAACCCCUGUCAUGUACUCACACGAGGCAUCCUAAUGAUGCAUUCUGCAACUGGACCAGAUGACGCUUUCCCAAGAAAGUACAGUCCCUUCAAAAUUCCUGAUGACUUGGUAUAGACUUAGAAUGGGUUAAAAUUUUGGGGAAGAAGGGAUGGAGCAUGGGAGCAUCAGAUUUGUUUGAACUCUACUGCUAUGGCUCAUACUGUUUCCACAACCUUAUGCAUCCUGCCAGCAUCCCAUCAGAAAACAAACGGUGUUUCUACCCCUACUCAGGAAUGGUGAAGCUCAUCAGUAGUGUUGGGUCCAGUUCUGGGUUCACCAGUACAAGGUAGAGGUGAGGAUACUGGAGUCCAAAGAAGGACCACAAAGAUAAUUAAGAGAUUGGAGCAUGUCUCAUAUGGCAGGGACUGAGACAGCUCGAGAAGAAAAAACUGAAGGGAGUUGUCAAUGUGUAUAAAUACCUCAAGGGAGGGAGUAAAGAAGACAGCCAGACCCUUAGUGUUGCCCAGUGACAGAGCAAGAGGACAUGCAUGCCAUUUGAAACACAGAAAAUUCCAUUUAAAUGAAAUUUAAGCUACAGAGAGGUUGGAGAGUCUCCAUUUUUGGAGAUACUCAAAAUACAACUGGACACAGUUUUGGGUAAAUAUUCUGCUCACCUUACUUUGAGCAGAUAGAUUGGACUAAGCAAUCUCCAGAGAUGCCUUCCCACCUCAACUGUUCCGUGACUCUGUGAUUUCACUUGCACCUUUCCAACUUCUUGCAGCUGUCAUUUGAUAUCACAGUAUAUGCAGGUAGGAGUCUGCUUCUCACAUUCCACUCUUUAUAUUUCUGUGAACUAGAAUUAUAUUCUAACUGCUAAAACACCUACUUUAAAGACCAGUCAUCUGGGACAGCUAGUAAAAAAAACAUUACUUCGAAAGAAGUAAUGUUCAUAAUUGAAAAUGUAUUAUUCAAAAAUAAAAAAAUAUUUUAAGAUGAAAUAUUGAUUUGGUUUUGUGUCAGAUACAAUCAUUUGUAGCACAAUGCAUCAGAAUUAAAUUCCCAGGUUUCCCACUGUCCUCCUUUUUCUUUAUUGAGGUGACAAGAUCUUUAUGGUGAUUUUUGUUUUGGUAUAACUUUAUGGAGCUUAGAGUAAUAGGCCCUGAGCUUGCUUAAUGAUAAAAGGAAUUAUAAUAAUCCAAGUAAUAGAGUAAAAUACAGAAUAUAGGUUUCAUGGUACCUUGAUGUGAGAGGCAUAUAUUUUAACCCUUUGGUGACUGCAUAAGAUACUUUUAUGAAAUCCACAUUAGAUAGUACGAUAAUUGCAGUGCUUUGCGCAUAAAUGUGCACCUCGUUCUCUUUUCAUUUCCUGUAUAUUUUACUUCAUUCUGCAGCCUCUGAGGUGAAAAGAAAGCCCAAAUGGAAGCAAGAGAAGAGAAAAGAGGAACCCGAAGAGAAUCACUUAUUGCCUUCAGCCUUGAGAAACUCAUACUUUCAACUUGUAGCUCCACCUGUGCUGUGGUGGUUCAGCUCUCCUCUGCACACUGACAUUGCAUUCAAGAGGUGAAAAUAAAUUGCCAGAACAUCCUAAAGGAAGGAUCUAGCCCUCGUUCCCUAUAAUGGGCAAUCGUAUAACCAAACAGGGUCAGCUGGAGUCUUCUCAAAGUCAGCAAUUUCCAAAGCCUGAAAGUUAACAUAAAAUCCUUAAAGCAAAACCUUCAGCAAGUGGAAAUGGGCUAAACUGUCCUAAAGUUACCAAGGGAGUAAUCCUGGUUUAUGACAGUAUCUGGCCUACAGUCAUGAGACCAUGCUACACCCCCCUCUCACCCACCCACCAAGAGGAAGAAUUAAGCCUUUUAACGCCGUAUUGGAAAUACUGCAUGUGUACUUCAAGGUUAGUAAGGAAACACUGCUGGUUUUAUCCACCUGCAGAGAAAAAAGCAAAAAGGCACCCUGAUGUUAUAGCUACCAGAAAGUGCAAUUGCAGUGGU